AGUGGCGCAAUCGGUUAGCGCGCGGUACUUAUAUGGCAGUAUGUGUGCGAGUGAUGCCGAGGUUGUGAGUUCGAGCCUCACCUGGAGCAUUGUUUUCCAACCCAAAAUAGCAUUACUUGAAGUGCCUUUCCCCCUGUAAUCCGACUCCAUCGUCUUUAACGUGUUUGGAAUUGUGUACACAGUUUAUUGUUAUUGGUUUCCUUAGCCUUUUUAGAACCAAGCAACGCCAAUUACCAACAAAAUCCGUUGCGCCGCAGAUCAUCGAUCAUCGUUCCUCGGGGAGCCCCUGGCACAUACUUAGUGCUAAGAAACUCCCAUCAGCCCAGGCAGUAAGAAAACAUAUCAGCUUCCACUUUUACCUUUAAGGAGAAGCCAGCUCCCAUGUUAAGAAGUUCAAAUACCUAGAGACUGCGAUGGUUUGCAGAGGCUCAAGCUAACCACAUGGAAAGACAUGGAGAGAUAUUCCUUGCCAACCCUCAACUACUCCAACUAUUCUAAGACAUCAAACCUAAAAACAAACCGCAGGUCACCCACCGGUCUGAAGAGGAGGAUGAGAGACAAAGAAAAAAGUUGUCUGGCUGCCUCUGCUGUCUACAGAUUGAAGAAGAUCCAUCCAGCUGAGCCCAGCCUAGACCAGCUGACUUCUCCAAUAAGCCUGUAUGAAAUAAAUGCUUAUUGUUAUGU
ensembl:lncRNA LINC00240 long intergenic non-protein coding RNA 240